rnacentral:snRNA from 1 species
AAGCAGAAGUAGUGGGUGAUUCCAUGAUCACAAAGGUGGUUUUCCCAGGCCAAGGCCUAUCCAUUGCACUUCGGAUGAGCUGACCCUCUGAUUUCCCCCAAAUACGUGGAAACUCAACUGUGUAAUUUGUGGCCUUAGAUACAUAAAUGUAUAGCUAG